AAACCAACAGGGAUUGCCUCAGUAACGGCGAGUGAAGCGGCAAAAGCUCAAAUUUGAAAUCCCCCGGGAAUUGUAAUUUGAAGGACCUAUUAAAACCCUGAGAGAGCCCAAAGUCCAUUGGAAAAUGGCGCCAUAGAAGGUGAUAGCCCUGUGUGGACCUCUCUCAGCAUACUUUUUAGGCCCAAAGAGUCGAGUUGUUUGGGAAUGCAGCUCUAAGUGGGUGGUAAAUUCCAUCUAAAGCUAAAUAUUGGCGAGAGACCGAUAGCGAACAAGUACAGUGAUGGAAAGAUGAAAAGCACUUUGAAAAGAGAGUGAAAAAGUACGUGAAAUUGUUGAAAGGGAAGGGCUUGCAAGCAGACACAACCUCGGUUGGGCCAGCAUCGGGGCGGGGGGAAACAAAAAAGGUGUGGAAUGUGGCUCUUACGAGUGUUAUAGCCCCACCCAAUAUUUCCAUCCCAUCCCGAGGCCUGCGAUUCUUCAAGGAUGCUGGCGUAAUGGUUGCAAGUCGCCCGUCUUGA
rnacentral:rRNA from 2 species